AAGCUCUUGGUGGCUUAAAGAGUGGGUAUAAAUAAAUGAGGAGUAGUGUGGUAAUUAGAUAAACAUAAUAAAUAUAAAUAGAAGAAAAAAAAAACAAAAGAGGGAUCUGAAAAUUUGAGAGAGAAUCGGCAGGAGAGAGAAGGGAGAAAGAAGAAGAAGAGAAAAGAAGAAAAUUAGAAGGGAAAUAGAAAGAAGUUGAAGGAAAUAAAUAAAAAGGAUAAUCCUGAUAUUCUAUUGGCGGGACGCCAUUAGGAUUUCCUUCGGUAUCUUCUUUUGACUUCUAUUUGCUUUGAGUCAGGUUUCGGGUCGUGACACUCUCAUAUCUCUGUUUCUAGUGUGUGCCGCUGCACCUCACAUGACGUGUUGUUCUUCAAGGGAUCCAUCUGGUGAAUUAUAUAUGCAUGGCACGUUGUGAAGAAGAUAUGAACUGAGCUUGAUGUCUUAUACUAGCUACCAGGCGGGGUCGAUUAUCUCCAUUGGUCUGUGUUCUACAUCCUUAAUUAUGAACCAUAAUUCCUGUGUCUUUCAGUUAAAAGCAAUGAUUUUGGUCCUAAAGCAUGUAUAAAGGCGCUGAUACCAUUGUAACAAAAAUUAUCCCAAGAUCCAUAUAUGAUAUUUAGAGCACACAUAAUUAAAUAA